rfam:Dipodomys ordii contig_61808, whole genome shotgun sequence.
GGAUGUGCAGGCAAUGGGGCAGUGACACAUAUCACCACAAUGAUCUCCAGGGUUGCUUCAGCUUCAUCUGGCUGGCUAGGGGGGGGGGGUGUACCUUCAUCCCUCAUCCCUCCAUAGGAGUCCUUCCUGGAGCUGCAUGUUCAGCGCAAGAGGGCAGCCUUCCCCAAUGAUCACUUUUUGGUCAAGGGUUUUGAGUAGCUUCACUCUGCUGCUAGAACCUCCAAAGAGUUCUCUAGAAGUAUUUAUUUGCAGUUGUUAGAAAUGACUCCAAGCUUCUGAGGGGGUGGCUUGGCUUCCUCAUUUCUGA